rnacentral:rRNA from 1 species
UACGUAGGUGGCAAGCGUUGUCCGGAUUUAUUGGGUUUAAAGGGUGCGUAGGCGGUUUUCUAAGUCAGCAGUGAAAUACGGCAGCUCAACUGUCGAGGUGCUGUUGAUACUAGGGAACUUGAGUACUGAUGAGGUAGGCGGAAUGGACGGUGUAGCGGUGAAAUGCUUAGAGAUCGUCCAGAACACCGAUAGCGAAGGCAGCUUACUAAGGAGUAACUGACGCUGAGGCACGAAAGUGUGGGGAUCAAACAGG